GGACCAGUAGCUCAGUGGUAGAGCAGCGGCCUUUUAAGCCGCGUGUCGUGGGUUCGAUCCCCACCUGGUCCU
rnacentral:tRNA from 6 species